rnacentral:rRNA from 1 species
UUGAACGCUGGCGGCAUGCCUUACACAUGCAAGUCGAGCGGCAGCGCGGGGGCAACCCUGGCGGCGAGCGGCGAACGGGUGAGUAAUACAUCGGAACGUGUCCAGUUGUGGGGGAUAACCAGUCGCAAGAUUGACUAAUACCGCAUACGAUCCACGGAUGAAAGCGGGGGACCGCAAGGCCUCGCGCUAUUGGAGCGGCCGAUGUCGGAUUAGCUCGUUGGCGGGGUAACGGCCCACCAAGGCGACGAUCCGUAGCUGGUCGGAGAGGACGACCAGCCACACUGGAACGGAGACACGGUCCAGACGCCGACGGGAGGCAGCAGUGGGGAAUUUUGGACAAUGGGCGCAAGCCUGAUCCAGCCAUGCCGAGGGAGUGAAGAAGGCCUGCGGGUUGUAAAGC